rnacentral:rRNA from 1 species
CACGUAGGGGGCGAGCGUUGUCCGGAAUUAUUGGGCGUAAAGAGCUCGUAGGCGGUUUGUCGCGUCUGCUGUGAAAACUCGGGGCUUAACUCCGGGCCUGCAGUGGGUACGGGCAGACUAGAGUGCGGUAGGGGAGACUGGAAUUCCCGGUGUAGCGGUGAAAUGCGCAGAUAUCGGGAGGAACACCGGUGGCGAAGGCGGCUCUCUGGGCCUUACCUGACGCUGAGGAGCGAAAGCGUGGGGAGCGAACAGG